rnacentral:rRNA from 1 species
GUGCCAGCAGCCGCGGUAAUACGUAGGGUGCGAGCGUUAAUCGGAAUUACUGGGCGUAAAGCGUGCGCAGGCGGUUAUAUAAGACAGUUGCGAAAUCCCCGGGCUUAACCUGGGAAUGGCGCUUGUGACUGCACGACUGGAGUGCGGCAGAGGGGGAUGGAAUUCCGCGUGUAGCAGUGAAAUGCGUAGAUAUGCGGAGGAACACCGAUGGCGAAGGCAGUCCCCUGGGCCUGCACUGACGCUCAUGCACGAAAGCGUGGGGAGC